rnacentral:rRNA from 1 species
AUUGAACGCUGGCGGCAGGCCUAACACAUGCAAGUCGAGCGGCAGCGGGAAAGUAGCUUGCUACUUUUGCCGGCGAGCGGCGGACGGGUGAGUAAUGCCUGGGGAUCUGCCCAGUCGAGGGGGAUAACUACUGGAAACGGUAGCUAAUACCGCAUACGCCCUACGGGGGAAAGCAGGGGACCUUCGGGCCUUGCGCGAUUGGAUGAACCCAGGUGGGAUUAGCCAGUGGGUGAGGUAAAGUCUCACCAAGGCGACGUUCCCUAGCUGGUCUGAGAGGAUGAUCGGGCACACUGGAACUGGGACACGGCACAGACGCCUACGGGAGGCAGCAGUGGGGAAUAUUGCACAAUGGGGGAAACCCUGAUGCAGCCAUGCCGCGUGUGUGAAGAAGGCCUUCGGGUUGUAAAGCACUUUCAGCGAGGAGGAAAGGUUGGUAGCUGAUAACUGCCAGCUGUGACGUUACUCGCAGAAGAAGCACCGGCUAACUCCGUGCCAGCCGCCGCCGUAA